rnacentral:rRNA from 1 species
UACGAAGGGGGCUAGCGUUGCUCGGAAUUACUGGGCGUAAAGCGCACGUAGGCGGCUCUUUAAGUCGGGGGUGAAAUCCUGGAGCUCAACUCCAGAACUGCCUUCGACACUGGAGAGCUCGAGUCCGGGAGAGGUGAGUGGAACUGCGAGUGUAGAGGUGAAAUUCGUAGAUAUUCGCAAGAACACCAGUGGCGAAGGCGGCUCACUGGCCCGGUACUGACGCUGAGGUGCGAAAGCGUGGGGAGCAAACAGG